rnacentral:rRNA from 1 species
GACGAACGCUGGCGGCGUGCUUAACACAUGCAAGUCGAACGGAGUUACGUAUGAAGUAUUUCGGUACGGACUAUGUAACUUAGUGGCGAACGGGUGAGUAACACGUGGGCAACCUGCCCUUAACCGGGGGAUAACAUUGUGAAAACAGUGCUAAUACCGCAUAACAGAGUAUCGGGCAUCCGAUAUUUUAAAAGGAGCAAUCCGGUUUAGGAUGGGCCCGCGUCCAAUUAGCUAGUUGGUGAGGUAACGGCUCGCCAAGGCUACGAUUGGUAGCCGAACUGAGAGGUUGAUCGGCCACAUUGGGACUGAGACACGGCCCAGACUCCUACGGGAGGCAGCAGUGGGGAAUAUUGGGCAAUGGGCGAAAGCCUGACCCAGCGACGCCGCGUGAAGGAUGAAGGUCUUCGGAUUGUAAACUUCUUUGAUCAGGGAAGAAAGAAAUGACGGUACCUGAAGAACAAGCCACGGCUAACUACGUG